GGGCUAUAGCUCAGUGGGAGAGCAUCUGCUUUGUUUGCUGGAGGCCCCGGGUUCAAUCCCCGAUGGCACCU